AUUGAACGCUGGCGGCAUGCUUUACACAUGCAAGUCGAACGGUAACAGGUUAAGCUGACGAGUGGCGAACGGGUGAGUAAUGCAUCGGAACGUGCCCGGUCGUGGGGGAUAACGCAGCGAAAGCUGCGCUAAUACCGCAUACGAUCUGAGGAUGAAAGCGGGGGACCGUAAGGCCUCGCGCGAUCGGAGCGGCCGAUGUCAGAUUAGGUAGUUGGUGGGGUAAAGGCUCACCAAGCCGACGAUCUGUAGCUGGUCUGAGAGGACGACCAGCCACACUGGGACUGAGACACGGCCCAGACUCCUACGGGAGGCAGCAGUGGGGAAUUUUGGACAAUGGGCGCAAGCCUGAUCCAGCAAUGCCGCGUGCAGGAAGAAGGCCUUCGGGUUGUAAACUGCUUUUGUACGGAGCGAAAAGGCUCUCUCUAAUACAGGGGGCUCAUGACGGUACCGUAAGAAUAAGCACCGGCUAACUACGUGCCAGCCGCCGCCGUAAAAC
rnacentral:rRNA from 1 species